GACGAACGCUGGCGGCGUGCUUAACACAUGCAAGUCGAGCGGUAAAGGCCCUUUCGGGGUACGACGAGCGGCGAACGGGUAGAGUAACACGUGGGUGACCUGCCUCAGCUCUGGGAUAAGCCUGGGAAACCGGGUCGUAAUACUGGAUAUGACUCCAUGACGCAUGUUGUGGGGUGGAAAGCCUUGUGCGGCUGAGGAUGGGCCCGCGGCCUAUCAGCUU
rnacentral:rRNA from 1 species